rnacentral:lncRNA from 1 species
CAUGGUAUCAAGACCAAACAAACCUUAAUAUAUAGGGAAUCCAAGGGUACAGUCGAAGGAGACACUGUCUUCCAGCAACUGGGCGAUGUGUUGGCAGAGCCUUGUCAGAUUGAACACUGGUCCUAAACUGGGAUUCAUAGGUGGUCAGAGCAGACUUCGUGUAAAAGCGUGGCUGGUGGAUAAUAGAGCUGGUGGCCCUCUAGAGCCACGAGGAAGAGAACAGGUUUGGGAAAUUUCGCACAGCCAAGAGUUUGGUAGGAAUUGUUAGGAAGUCAGGCAGCAAUUCCUCCAGAUUAAUAAGAAGCGAGCCUUAGCUACUCUAAGCAGUGUUAACAGCUGUUUGUGGGGCCUAGAGAGAUUGCUUAGCAAUGAAGAGUGCUUGCUGAAUUUGCAAAGCAUCUGAAUUUGGUUCCUCACUCCAGCAUCCAGUAGCUAACAACUAGCUCCAGCUCCGGCUCCAGCGGCUGCCUCUGAGGGCGUAUAUGUAUAUGUAUAUGUAUAUGUAUAUGUAUAUGUAUAUGUAUAUAUACAUACAUAUAUAUGUAUAUAUACACACACAUACAUACACACACAUAUAUAUGUAUAUAUAUACAUAUAUAUACACAUAUAUAUACAUAUAUAUAUAUAUACAUAUAUAUAUACAUAUAUAUAUACAUAUAUAUAUAUGGUCUAUGUUUUCAGAAAGUAUAGAGACAAAGGUUCUUGGGGGAAAGUGCUCUUGUGUGUGUGUGUGCGAGAUGUGUCUGUGUAACAGGGUUCUGUGUUGCUCAAACUGACAUUGUACUUGCAUUAUUGAGUGCCUGGUGUGGUGGUUUGAAUAGGAAUGCCCCCCCCCCCCGACUUGUGGAUUUUAAAACCUGGUCACCAGGGCAUGCCACCAUUUGAAAGGAUUAGGAGAUGUUGGAGGAAGUGUGUCAAUGGAGGUAGGUUCUGAGGGCUCAAGGACCCAAGUUAGGCCCAGCAUCUUUUUCUUCCUACUGCCUGUGGAUCUGGCUGUAGAACUCUGAGGGUCUUCUCUAGCACCACGGCUGCUUAUAUGUCACCACGCUACCUCCUAUGACCACAAUGGACUACACCUCUGAAACUGUUGCCUUGUGGGACUGAGCAACUGCUAGAUCCUUGGACUUCCAUUCACAGCUGCUGCUGACCAUUGUUGGGAGUUGGACUACAGACUGGAUGCUACACACUGAGUGAAUCACUUUGCUGGUUUCAGGAGAGAUCCCAGCCAAGAGGAGUGAAUACCACUCACAGGGGCAAAGGCAAGUGACCUGCUUGGAGAAACAGUCCACCUGCCCCGAGGAGAGCCGAACACCUUCACACCUUUUUCCUCUUCAUCCAAAGACUAAAAACUAGAUCCAGUCCCUCCCAAAGGCAAAGGAAGAUGGAAGACUAUCAAGUGGAUGAAGUUUCCCAGCCUGCAAACUCAUCAUAGCCUUGGCCUAGCAUCUUACCCAUCCUCCCUCCUCCAUCAUCUGAUGUAGGACUUGCUAUAAAUUGAUGCCUCCUACCUGUCAAUGCAAGAGAAGAUAGCACCCAGUGAAGCACCUUUCUGUUUUAGUUUGACAAUAAAUCUAUUCUGUCUCC